AUUGAACGCUGGCGGCAGGCCUAACACAUGCAAGUCGAGCGGAUGACGGGAGCUUGCUCCUGGAUUCAGCGGCGGACGGGUGAGUAAUGCCUAGGAAUCUGCCUGGUGUUGGUGGACAACGUUUCGAAAGGAACGCUAAUACCGCAUACGUCCUACGGGAGAAAGCAGGGGACCUGCGGGCCUUGCGCUAUCAGAGGAGCCUAGGUCGGAUUAGCUAGUUGGUGAGGUAAUGGCUCACCAAGGCGACGAUUCGGAACUGGGCCGAGAGGAUGAUCAGUCACACUGGAACUGAGGCACGGUCCAGACUCCUACGGGAGGCAGCAGUGGGGAAUAUUGGACAAUGGGCGAAAGCCUGAUCCAGCCAUGCCGCGUGUGUGAAGAAGGUCUUCGGAUUGUAAAGCACUUUAAGUUGGGAUGAAGGGUUGUAGAUUAAUACUCUGCAAUUUUGACGUUACCGACAGAAUAAGCACCGGCUAACUCUGUGCCAGCCGCCGCCGUAAGAC
rnacentral:rRNA from 1 species